CGCUGACUACAGGACUGCCUUCGCUGCCGCGCGUCCGGCAUUGCGUCCUGAGAACAGACAGCCGCCGAGGAACGUACCUUCCAGCGCGCGAUAGCCGUGCACGCCGCCGCCGCCGAAGCCCGCCGCUUCGCCCACCGCAUACAGUCCCUGAAUGAUUUGGCCGUCAUUGCCGAACACGCGCGAGUCGAGAUCGGUUUCGAAGCCGCCAAGCGUCUUGCGCGUCAGGAUGUUGAGUUUUACUGCGAUCAGCGGCCCGAAAGCGGGAUCGAGAAUCUUGUGCGGCUU
rnacentral:misc_RNA from 1 species